UACGUAGGGUGCAAGCGUUGUCCGGAAUUAUUGGGCGUAAAGAGCUCGUAGGCGGUUUGUCGCGUCUGCUGUGAAAACUCGGGGCUUAACUCCGGGCCUGCAGUGGGUACGGGCAGACUAGAGUGCGGUAGGGGAGACUGGAAUUCUGGUGUAGCGGUGAAAUGCGCAGAUAUCAGGAGGAACACCGGUGGCGAAGGCGGGUCUCUGGGCCGUAACUGACGCUGAGGAGCGAAAGCGUGGGGAGCGAACAGG
rnacentral:rRNA from 1 species